GAAUUGGGGAUAACCCGCCGAAAGGCGGGCUAAUACCGAAUGACAUCUUGAAAACUUAUGUUUUCAAGAUCAAAGGUGGCCUCUACAUGUAAGCUAUUGUUUGGGGAUGAGCCCGCGUACCAUCAGCUUGUUGGUAGGGUAAUGGCCUACCAAGGCUACGAUGGUUAGCUGGUCUGAGAGGAUGAUCAGCCACACUGGAACUGACACACGGUCCAGACUCCUACGGGAGGCAGCAGUGAGGAAUUUUGCGCAAUGGGGGAAACCCUGACGCAGCAACGCCGCGUGAGUGAUGAAGGCUUUCGGGUCGUAAAGCUCUGUCAAGUGGGAAGAAAUCAUAUGGUGUUAAUACUGCCAUAUAUUGACGGUACCACUGAAGGAAGCACCGGCUAACUCCGUGCCAGCAGCCGCGGUAAUACGGGGGGUGCGAGCGUUAUUCGGAAUUACUGGGCGUAAAGAGCGCGUAGGCGGUCUUUUAAGUCAGGUGUGAAAGCCCGGGGCUCAACCCCGGAAGUGCACUUGAAACUAAGAGACUUGAGUAUGGGAGAGGGAAGUGGAAUUCCUGGUGUAGCGGUGAAAUGCGUAGAUAUCAGGAGGAACAUCGGUGGCGAAGGCGACUUCCUGGACCAAUACUGACGCUGAGGCGCGAAGGCGUGGGAGCAAACAGGAUUAGAUACCCUGGUAGUCCACGCAGUAAACGGUGAACACUAGGUGUAGCGGGUAUUGACCCCUGCUGUGCCGCAGCAAACGCAUUAAGUGUUCCGCCUGGGGAGUACGGCCGCAAGGUUAAAACUCAAAGGAAUUGACGGGGGCCCGCACAAGCGGUGGAGCAUGUGGUUUAAUUCGACGCAACGCGAAGAACCUUACCUAGGUUUGACAUCCCGGGAAUUCUGUGGAAACACGGAAGUGCCCUUCGGGGAGCCCGGUGACAGGUGCUGCAUGGCUGUCGUCAGCUCGUGUCGUGAGAUGUUGGGUUAAGUCCCGCAACGAGCGCAACCCCUUUCUUUAGUUACCAUCAUUUAGUUGGGGACUCUAAAGAUACUGCCCCGGUUAACGGGGAGGAAGGUGGGGAUGACGUCAAGUCCUCAUGGCCUUUAUGCCUAGGGCUACACACGUGCUACAAUGGACUGUACAAAGGGUUGCCAGCCUGUGAAGGUGAGCCAAUCCCAUAAAGCAGUUCGUAGUUCGGAUUGGAGUCUGCAACUCGACUCCAUGAAGCUGGAAUCGCUAGUAAUCGUGGAUCAGAACGCCACGGUGAAUACGUUCCCGGGCCUUGUACACACCGCCCGUCACACCAUGAGAGUUGGUUGUACCAGAAGUCGUUGGGCAAACCUUUCGAGGAUGCAGGCGCCUAAGGUAUGGCUGAUGAUUGGGGUGAAGUCGUAACAAGGUA
rnacentral:rRNA from 1 species